CUUUAUAUAUAAAUGAUCAAAUUUAUCAAAUGAACAUUUCCCGACUCAAUAGUAGUUCUCAACAGCAUUCCUUGUCGGGGAAUUAUGAAGUUAACAGACCAGAAAUGAUUCAACCCAGAACUCACAAAAUGUAUGAGACAGUUCCUUUCCACGACAGCCCUCCUGCUUUUUAUGGCAACAAUCAGAAUGUUUCUGAUGUACAUAGAAAACAGCAACUUCGAUUAGUCAAAAACAGGGAGGCAGCCAGGGAAUGUAGACGGAAGAAAAAGGAGUACGUGCAGUGCCUGGAACAGAGAGUUAAACUUUUGGAGACGCAGAAUCGAAUGCUUAUAGAAGAACUGCGAAAUUUGAAAACGGUGAUUCAAAAU